rnacentral:rRNA from 1 species
CUAGUUGGGGGCGACUUCAACAUGAUCGCGUGCGUCGAGGACAAGAACAACGAGAACCUGCACCGGGCAACCAUGCGCCACUUUAGAAACUUCAUCGCCGACGAGGAGCUCCAGGAUAUCUACCUACACGGCCGACGCUACACCUGGUCGAACGAGCGCGAGGCGUCGACCCUUGAGCGCAUUGACCGCGUCCUCUGCACUGUCGGCUGGGCGACCGAUCACCCUAGCUGCAUGCUGCGCUGCUUGUCAUCCGCGGCAUCUGAUCAUGCGCUCCUAAGCCAGACCCGUUCUGUCGCAUGUUCGCGAGGCUGCGUGCCACUGCCAAGUGCCUGCAGCGUUGGAGCUCCAAGACGAUGGGAGACGUCUCGCUGCAGCUGUCCAUCGCCCGUGAGCUGA